rnacentral:tRNA from 1 species
GCGCCUGUAGCUCAGCUGGAUAGAGCGUCUGGCUACGAACCAGAAGGCCGGGAGUUCGAAUCUCUCCGGGCGCACCA